UGCCAGUUUGUCGCCAAGAACGAAUACCCUUGGGGUUAAAAGCAUCGAUGCUUUUAACCCCAAGGGUAUUCGUUCUUGGCGACAAACUGGC
rnacentral:pre_miRNA from 1 species